rnacentral:lncRNA from 1 species
GUUUGUAUCAUUUAACACAUGGCAAGAGUAAAAUCUCUUUGUUCUUACUGUGCUAUAAUCUAGAUAAUGCACAGCAAAGGUGUGCAUUAACUACCUCAGAUAUACCGCACAGUUCAAAUAUAUUUUUACCUUUAGGGGCGUUAUUCUAUCAAAUUAAAAAAAAACAAGAAUGUGUCCAUAGUACACAAAUGCCCCACUCGCACUAUCAUUUUCUAUGUUCAGUGGACCGUGAAAUUGGGGUCAAAACUUUAUUUUGGAAUUAAAAUUAGAAAGAUCAUAUCAUAGGGAACAUGUGUACUAAGUUUCAAGUUGAUGUAACUUUAACUUCAUCAAAAACUACCUUGACCAAAAACUUUAACCUGAACUUCGCACUAUCAUUUUCUUUAUUCAGGGGACCAAGAAAUUGGGGUCAAAACUAUAAUUUGGCAGUAAAAUUAGAAAGAUAAUAUCAUGGGGAACAUGUGUACUAAGUUUCAAGUUGAUUGGACUUCAACUUCUUCAAAAACUACCUUGACCAAAAACUUUAACCUGAAGCGGACUGACGAACGGACGCACAGACGGACGGACGAACGGACGCACAGACGGACGGACGAACGGACGCACAGACGGACGGACGAACGGAAGAACGGAGGCACAGACCAGAAAACAUAAUGCCCCUCUACUAUCGU